AAUCCUCCCAUGUAAAUCCAACAUGGCGGCGCCCCUUAGGACAUUGUGUAGUACAGCUUAGAGGCAUUCCAGACGUUGUUUUACUACGACUUGUGGGGCACAGGCCGGAAUCAAGUGGAUGACAGAAAAUGGUCUUGUCCACAGAAAUGGUAUUGCCCGCUGAAAUGGUCUUGCCCGCUGAAAUGGUCUUGCCUGCAGUGGAACAGAGUAUGGUCCCCUGACAGAUAUCCCUGACUGGUUCUUUGCAGAUGGCCGGUCGGCACCCCCACUGAAAGAACAGCAGAGGAGAAAGCAGGAGAGAGAGACAGAAGUGUAGUGAAUCUCAGCCCUAAGGUGGAUGAAGGGAUGGAAGUGUGGAGGGAGAAACGGGAAGAAGCUAAAAGGAUCGAGGAACGCAAUAAAUCUCUUCUGCUAAAACCCAAAGGGAACCUUUUAUUGAAGAAAAAUAAACAAGAAAUCAUAUUUUCCAUUCCAGCUGACAUUACUUAUUAACAAAAUGGUGGAGUUGGUGUAUGGCUUUGUAGUACUUAUUUUGCCCUUUUCAAUGUUUUUCAAAAGUAAACUUUAAUGUAUAUUUACAACGUA